GAUGAACGCUGGCGGCGUGCCUAAUACAUGCAAGUCGAGCGAACGGACGAGAAGCUUGCUUUUCUGAUGUUAGCGGCGGACGGGUGAGUAACACGUGGAGAACCUACCUAUAAGACUGGGAUAACUUCGGGAAACCGGAGCUAAUACCGGAUAAAAUUUUGAACCGCAUGGUUCAAAAGUGAAAGACGGUCUUGCUGUCACUUAUAGAUGGAUCCGCGCUGCAUUAGCUAGUUGGUAAGGUAACGGCUUACCAAGGCAACGAUGCAUAGCCGACCUGAGAGGGUGAUCGCCCACACUGGAACUGAGACACGGUCCAGACUCCUACGGGAGGCAGCAGUAGGGAAUCUUCCGCAAUGGGCGAAAGCCUGACGGAGCAACGCCGCGUGAGUGAUGAAGGUCUUCGGAUCGUAAAACUCUGUUAUUAGGGAAGACCAUAUGUGUAAGUAACUGUGCACAUCUUGACGGUACCUACUCAGAAAGCCACGGCUAACUACGUG
rnacentral:rRNA from 1 species